CGAUUUCUUCCUCUUCCCCGAUCUCUUUGCCCCUCCCUCGUGAUCUCGCCACACCCGAUUGCCGCCAUCCCAUCGCCAGCUAUCCUCUUUCGGAUGAGGCCAAGACAGCCGAGCUUCCUCCUCUCGGGAACCCUCACCGCCGCACCUACCGCAUGAGGCUGACGCCGACUCCCGAACUCACCACUGUAUCGAUCUGCAAGACAUCACCACCCCCUUUCUCGAUCCCAUCGCCAUGGCUAGGUCAUCGUUACCCCUGCUCAACACUGCAGUAGCAACCGCUUUUUGCAAUUCCAUUACUCACCGUGGUGUCCCUCUUGCCUGAGAACCGAAGCAGAGCAGCGGCUGCUGUCACUCGAGGUGUCAUCGUCGAUGGAUCUCUUGUUUUCCUUCUCAUCACCGCACUGCUCCCUUCAUUAAUUCUAUAUCUCAGCCAUAGCUGUCGGCACAUAGUCGCAACCAGCGUUGCAACCGACUAGUCAUCUCUGUACUUCCUCUCGAUCGCCCAUCUUGCCACCAUGGAUGUGUUGUUAAGCAGCAGGUUGAUGAUUGUGGAGUCGCUUAGAGUAUCUUGUCUGUUGGUCUCACAUCAUAUCGGAGAACAGUCUUUACUUUGCUUUAUGCUUUUCUUGCAUUUAUUUAGAUUUUAUGUACUUGAUAUUGUAAUAAUUUUGUUGUGGGCUUGGUGUUUAGCCUUAUCGUUACUUUUGAUGUUUCUGAUGGUCGUUGUGUAAAGUCUACCGGCUAGUAGUUUAUCGCUUUUGAUUUAUGAGUUUUCCUUUA